UUCACAUAAUAUGUGUAUACGUAUGUAUACUUUUAUAAAAUACCUGCAAUUAUUGAAAUAAAUUUUAUAUUAAGUUUGUAUAUUUUGAUAAAUGUAUUUUUAGGUAAUAAUUAUCAUUAUAAUGAUUAUUUUAAGAUAAUAACAAAUUUAUCACAUUUUUUAAAUCAUAAAAUUUCUUAGCCUGUGACAAGGGAUUUAAUGGAUUAAAUUGUGACACCAUGUGUCAAUAUCCUACGUAUGGACAGGACUGUCAAUCUGAGUGUAAAUGUGAUGUCACAGACUGCAAUUAUGUUAACGGUUGUAUACAGCCUACAAGAAAAUAUAUGGUUCAAUCUACAAUACACACAAACGACAAGACCGUUACAGCCAGCAGUCAUAGAGAUAUUUAUAAUGUUACGACAGACACUACUACGAAUUCAACUUACCCUGUUUAUGAAACAAAGAAAACAGAACCUAAAAAGAUCAACACUCUCAUAUUUGGUAUAAUAGGACUAAUGACACUUUCAUUUAUCAUAUACAUGAUGUAUCUUUACACACGAGUAUUAGAGAAACGCUUAGUCAAAUCAAUCUCUCAGGUUAGGUGAAAUAAUAAAAAACAAAACUCAACCAUUUUAUAACCAUAAUCUCUUUUAAGGACAAUAUCCAAAAAAUAAAAGUUGCGUACAGGUGAAUGAAAUUCCAGAUUUAAAUUGUUUCGAUGAUGCUCCAAAUCAAAUUCGUCAAAUCAAAAAUGACGUCAUAAUGGUUCUAGCAUCAUCAAAAAGACACUCUGGAAUCAAAUGUUAGAUCUAGACCUAAAUUUCGAGCUGCAAAUCGUUAUUUGUUGUUGACAAGAUUAUUUCAAA